AUUGAACGCUGGCGGCAGGCCUAACACAUGCAAGUCGAACGCGUGGCGGACGUGUGAGUAAUGUCUGGGACCUUGCCUGAUGGAGGGGGAUAACUACUGGAAACGGUAGCUAAUACCGCAUACCAUCCGCUGAGCCUAGGUCGGAUUAGCCAGUUGGUGGGGUAAAGGCUUACCAAGGCGACGAUCCGUAACUGGUCUGAGAGGAUGAUCAGUCACACUGGAACUGAGACACGGUCCAGACUCCUACGGGAGGCAGCAGUGGGGAAUAUUGGGCAAUGGGCGAAAGCCUGAUCGAGCCACGCCGCGUGAGUGAAGAAGGUCUUCGGAUUGUAAAACUCUGUAAGUUGGGAGGCGUUACCUACACAAAAAGCAACGGCUAACUUCGUGCCAGCAGCCGCGGUAAUAC
rnacentral:rRNA from 1 species